GCGCUCAGGCAAAGUACCUAGUGAUCCCAGCUCUGCUGAAGACUUGGUCCUUGUCAGUACCAGCCUAAAUUGCAAGAGAGGAGAGUCUGCACCUCAGGUGACCGCCACACCACCACCUCCCUGCGUACACCCAGCAGUGCCUAAAGACAGAGCAGCCAGAGAGACGGGGCACCGCCUGGUAGGGGUCCAGCUUGGAGACCAGCUUGGCGGAGGCCGAGAAGCCGUUCCACAUACAGUCCUGCAGGAUGAUGUUCUUCACGAAGGUCUCGUCAUCCGGGUCGCAGACGAAGCUCUGCUUCACCGCGUCUCCUCCUGGCAGCUCGGGCAGGUCUGCGGUGGCGAAGCUAUCACCGUCGUGGUCCCUGGGGGCGAAAGACACCGCGACCGCUUCGCAGGGAGGCGAGUAGAGCCCGGCGUGGCCCGGGGACGGGCGCGGCGUGGGCAGCAGCUCGAAUUUCUUCCAGAUGUCCUCGCUGGGCGCUGGCGGCUGCGGCGGCUGCUGGUGCACGUCCUCCUCCUCAUCGUCGCACAUAAAGUACGGCUGCACCGAGUCGUAGUCCAGGUCGCGGUUGCCGUUAGCGAGGCUCACGUGGAGGGGCAUGGUCGCGGCGUUGCGUUUGGAGGCGACCCGGAGGGGUGCAGGGCUGCUGCGGAAACCUGGCGCGCUGCGCAGCAGCCCCGAACCACUCCCCUUCCCAGACCCUCACUUCCGACUAUCCCGACAGUCCCUUCACCAGGCUGGGUCUCGGGCUGCAGCGCAGGGAAGAGGCGUCAGCUCGUCGCCAGACGCCACGCUCAAAGUAUCGCGCCACCUUACGGAGCGGGGCUAUAGGCGCUGCAUCCUACGUGCACAGGAUACAUUUUCGUGCACGCACAUAACCUAUUCUCCGCAUACUCUCAUUUCCUGCUAGCGUUUACCUCUCCACCUCUCAGUCCUCUUCGUUCGCCCAGUGACUCUUCUACUUUCAUGUCAUUUGUAACAUGUGUGAUUUCAUGUACCUAUGAAAUCGAGAACC
rnacentral:lncRNA from 1 species